CAUUAUGUUCUCAACCGGUGUUGAAUAUCUAUUGCAGCUAGAUAGUUAAGGUUCGACUCCUUACAUAGUGU
rnacentral:tRNA from 1 species